rnacentral:rRNA from 1 species
GACGAACGCUGGCGGCGUGCUUAACACAUGCAAGUCGAACGGAAAGGCCUGCUUUCCCUUGUGGAUUGCGGGUACUCGAGUGGCGAACGGGUGAGUAACACGUGAGUGAUCUGCCCCCAACUUAGGUAUAAGCCUGGGAAACUGGGUCUAAUUCCCGAUAGGACUGCAGGGUGGUGCCUGUGGUGGAAAACGAUUUUCUAGUGGUUGGGGAUGAGCUCGCGGCCUAUCAGCUUGUUGGUGGGGUAAUGGCCUACCAAGGCGGCGACGGGUAGCCGGCCUGAGAGGGUGGACGGCCACAUUGGGACUGAGAUACGGCCCAGACUCCUACGGGAGGCAGCAGUGGGGAAUAUUGCACAAUGGGCGGAAGCCUGAUGCAGCGACGCCGCGUGGGGGAUGACGGCCUUCGGGUUGUAAACUCCUUUCGACCGCGAGGAAGCCACCUGGUUGGAAGGGUGGUGACGGUAGUGGUAGAAGAAGCACCGGCUAACUACGUG